UAUUAUGGAUGAAACCGUGCAAAUCAAAUUGUCAUCAUCGGCUAAAGCAAAGUUUUCUGUUUUUGUUUGUAAUCGGACACAACUUAAUACUACCUGUAAUCCUCUUAAAAUGUACACUUUGGUAUAUGUGGGAGCAUCAGAAUAUGUCAUUCUUAAUUUAUCAAGAGAAGUAUGUGGCCCCAAUACUUGUAUUGAGAACUUUUAGAAGACUUAUUGGUCACUGAAGAUAGCCCUUUGGAGAUGCUUAUAGUGGUAGCAGCGAUGAUGGUAACAUCUGUUAUCUUCACACUUGCUGGAUUGAAGAUAUUGAAAGCAUGUCAUCAAAAGAAACUGCAAAAGAAAACAGUACUGAAAUGAAAAUUGGCAAUUGAGCAGAAAGUAACUUGAGUCUUCUUCAUUAACGAAACUAAAGGUGACUGAAUUGGAAUAAAGAGAGAGCUCAUUUUACAACAAAGCAUACUAAUUUCAGAUUGGAGAUUUUACAGUUCAGUUGAAAACAUGUUAUUCAGAAACUGAUGUAAAAAUAUGAAUGGACACCGUGGUUUACAUUGUGGUUGUUCACACUGCAGGCAUUUACAAUCAAGAAAGUCAGAUACCUGAUGCAAAAAUGCCAUAUAAAUUAUACAAUCCUGGACAGUUUUAUUACUUAUAUUACUUUCCUACUGUAUUUGCAGCAUUACCAAGCCACUGCCUUCAAUUGUGUGUUUUCGUCACGUUACAUGCCUAAAUGUACUUUCUAAUGACUCAUGUCUGUGGGAAUCCCUCAUUUUAAAAAUAACUUUAUAAAGGUCAUACCUCAUUCCAAAAUAUAUCAUCAACUAUUUUCCUGUUGUAUUAUAAAGUCAUCUAAUUACCUCAUAACUAUAUAUAGCUAAGUCAUGUUACACACUUACCUGUGACCCAAAUAUUUCAGAAGAUAAUGCUUUGUGCGUGUGUGUUUUUUUACAUACUGUAUAUUGGGCCUAAUUCAGAACUGAUCGUAGAUGAGCUAAAUUUAGCACAUCUACGAUCAGUUACACAGACAUGUGGGGGGACGCCCAGUACAGGGCUAGUCCGCCCCGCAUGUCUGGCUCUGCCCCCCCCCCUCCCCCCGCACAGGUACAAAAGUAUUGCAUGGCAGCAAUGCUUUUGUACCUGAGGAGUAGCUCCCUACCAGCGCAGCUCCUGUGCACUGGCAGGGAGCUACUUGUCACUUCCUGGGUCACAGAGGCUGCGUGUGAUGUCACGCAGCCACCGUGGCCCAUCCCCCGCACGGUACGGGCACACCUGCUUUGCCCAGACUGCACCCCCAAAAUGCCGGCCCGUCCCCUCCCGCCCAGCAACAGCCUCUGCCUGUCAAUCAUGCAGAGGCGAUCGCUGGUCUGAGAUGGCCUUCGACUCUCUGGCAUAUACUGUCGCGAAAACGCACAGCAGCGAUCAGGUCUGAAUUACGCCCAUUGUAUAUUUGUAUCGUCAGUUUUACGAGGCUAUUAUGUCUGUGCAAAUAUACAGUAUUUUAAGUAUUUUUCUUUUAUUUUAGCGCGUACAAUACUUAUUUCAGCUGAUAAAUGUUUUCAGGUUCCUUUACUUCCCCAUUUCUAAUAUUGAGACAUUUUGCUGAUAAAAUAAUGAAUUAUAUGAUAUAUCAUUAAUGCAGAUCUACAGUAGUUUAACCCUUUGUCAUACAUUUCAUUCUGAUUUUGCAAAUGUACAGUAUAAAGCAAUAUUUUUGUAUUCCUGUUAUUAAUGGUGGCUGUUAAGCCUUUUGUGUAAGAUCAUUUUUUGUUUAUUGUAAAUUACACUUUAUUUAUGGGCAAGUAAUGUGACAAAGUGAUGACUUACCCUGGGCUAACAGUUGGUCUAAAUUUACCAUCCAGUGCUGUUGAAGAAAAGACAUCUGGUUUGGAGGCUCUCUGUUAUAUUAUGAGUACAGUAUUAGAAUGAUUAUUUUGCAUCCUGAGGACACUCAAUGCUGGCCGGAAUAAAUGGGCCGUCUGAUCCCGCAAUCCCCGGAUUGGAGCUUCCAAUCCUAUUUGUGGCCUAAAUCCCGGGAUCCUGCCAAUCCCGGGAUUGGCCACCCCAUUCCCAAUAGAAAAUGAAUGAGUAGUAAUAGAUUUUUUGCAUGUAUAGAUAAAUGUCUUAUCUAGAAAUAUUGCAUAGUUUUUCAAAUAGCACAAGUAUAUUCCAUAAAUGUUUUACUGGACACUUCUCUCAAAUAAGUGUUUUCCACAAUAUAGUCUGUAUAUGUGUGCCUGCAUAAAUUAAUGCAUUCUAGAGAAAUUCUGCACCAUUCUUUCCAGUAGAACAAGUAUAUUCCAAAAUAGAGAUUUGAAUUUAUAAGUAAUUAGUGUUUCCAUAUGCAUAAGUAUAUGCCUUGUAGAGAAAUAAUGCACAGUUCUUUCCAAUAGCACAAAUAUAUUCCACAGUAGAUCUUUUGAAACAGUUGAUGGAAUUCCUAAACAGCAUACGUAAUUAGCACAGCAGCAAGCUAUUGAGUAGAUAUUCACAAUUCUCCAGAUUAAUUGCCACACAGUUCUUUUCAAUAGGCACAAAUCAAUAGCACUAUAGCCGAUCUUUUAUGGAGUUUAAGUUAGUUUCAUUGUGGAGAAAUAUCAGCAGGUAAUAGGCUGUCCAAAUAAUACAGACAGAUUUUAUGAUGUGACUUGUUACUGCACUGUUUAUUUGUAAACUGCUCAAACUGCUAUGUAAGUGUAUUUUGAGUUCAAAUAUUGACAUGUUAUAGUUGCAUAAUGUAUAUAUCCACUAGAUUAAAGCUGUUUCAAUAUA